UAGUUAUAACGGGCCAGCAUUCGUCAAACUUUUAUGACCCCCUCCCCCACCCGGUGACAGUUGCUGACUGACAGGUCGUUUUUAUGACCCUUUGACAGGGGGGCGGGACCAUCAAUCAAAAUCUGUACAAGUUGUCAACUUUAGACAGAAAGUAUUUAAUGGUUUUAUUGCCGGUCAUUUAGAGUGAUUGUUUUUCCUGAGUGUGUUUUAUGUCAAGCGUAUGGUGUCAUGUUUAAUGACGGCUCGUGUUUGUGACAUUUGCUGUCUAUCACCCCUCCCUUUUCGACCCGUGCGCUUCUCACCACUGCGUGUCACACAGUGAUGUGUGUGUUGUUGAAUCUAAAGUUUUGCAACAUCAAAAGUUUAUUUAAAGGCAAUCACUAAUUAUAUAUAUAUAUAUAUAUAUAUAUAUAUAUAUAUAUAUAUAUGUAUGUAUGUAUUAGAUGUAGCUGGUUAAACUUAAAGGCCGAUAUUUUCUAUCGAACUAGUCUAUUUUCUGUUCAGACACAAAGUUUUCUGAUGCUGAUAUUAUGUCAGUGUGUGUUUGUGUGGGGGUCGUGUGCUGUAAUCUUUGAAAGUUUAUGACCGAACCUUUAUUGGGGAGCGACAAGAGAUCUCCCGGACUCAGUUUGGAUGGAGCAGAGCUGUUAUACUCAAGUCUAUUGCGAAAUUGUCUAAACUGGUAUUAACUAUUCCUGGUAAAUCGCGGACAAGAGUGGCCUGAACAAAAAAGUCAGCCCGAGACUAGAACCUCCCGCAGCGUAACAAGGAAAUCUUGGAGCAAAGAGACGCCGAGUGGCUCGUGUUGUGCGGUUUGGAUAUCUGCUGCAAUGCGAACGUUGUGUGUACUAUUGCAAAAUAGCGGAUCUCCCCGGUUAGGAUACAGACCACAACGCUUUGGACGUAUCUUUAAAAAAGAGAAAAAUCAGAGACUUUUUGGAUUUGUCUGGGGACAUUUUAAACAUUUUGUGUCAAAUUGGAUUUAAAACAUUUCGGAUACUGGAUACCUAGUUUGAUUUGUCCACAGAUCUUGUUUAAGACGUUUUCACCUCAUUUUAGGGUUUAUUUUUAAUUAAAGGCUUCUUAAAACAUGUAUGAAAAUGUGUAUAUUAUACAAUGAGUCUUAUAUUGUCUGCUCUGACAAAAAUAAAUUAUUAUUUUAGAUCUUA